rnacentral:rRNA from 1 species
AUCGCCAUCGCUCAACGGAUAAUAGGUACUCUGGGGAUAACAGGCUUAUCGGGCUCGAGAGUUCAUAUCGACAGCCCGGUUUGGCACCUCGAUGUCGGCUCAUCCUAUCCUGGGGCUGAAUAAGGUCCCAAGGGUCCGGCUGUUCGCCGGUUAAAAGGGUACGCGAGCUGGGUUCAGAACGUCGUAAGACAGUUCGGUCUCUAUCUGUCGUGGGCGUAAGGAUAUUUGAGAGGAGCAGUCCCUAGUACGAGAGGACCGGGAUUGACGGACCGACGGUGUUCCAGUUGUCACGCCAGUGGCAUUGCUGGGUAGCCGUGUCCGGAAGAGAUAAGCGCUGAAGGCAUCUAAGCGCCAAGCUCCCCUCAAGAAUAGAUAUCCCGCUCCUUCGGGAGCACAGGCACCUUGGAGACUACAAGGUUGAUAGGUCUUAAGUGUAAGCCCUGCAAGGGGUUGAGCUUAAAGAUACUAAUCUGCCGAUCGGCUUGACCAC